rnacentral:rRNA from 1 species
UGCAAUAGAACGCUGAAGAGAGGAGCUUGCUCUUCUUGGAUGAGUUGCGAACGGGUGAGUAACGCGUAGGUAACCUGCCUUGUAGCGGGGGAUAACUAUUGGAAACGAUAGCUAAUACCGCAUAACAAUGGAUGACACAUGUCAUUUAUUUGAAAGGGGCAAUUGCUCCACUACAAGAUGGACCUGCGUUGUAUUAGCUAGUAGGUGAGGUAAUGGCUCACCUAGGCGACGAUACAUAGCCGACCUGAGAGGGUGAUCGGCCACACUGGGACUGAGACACGGCCCAGACUCCUACGGGAGGCAGCAGUAGGGAAUCUUCGGCAAUGGGGGCAACCCUGACCGAGCAACGCCGCGUGAGUGAAGAAGGUUUUCGGAUCGUAAAGCUCUGUUGUAAGUCAAGAACGGGUGUGAGAGUGGAAAGUUCACACUGUGACGGUAGCUUACCAGAAAGGGACGGCUAACUACGUGCCAGCAGCCGCGGUAAUACGUAGGUCCCGAGCGUUGUCCGGAUUUAUUGGGCGUAAAGCGAGCGCAGGCGGUUUGAUAAGUCUGAAGUUAAAGGCUGUGGCUCAACCAUAGUUCGCUUUGGAAACUGUCAAACUUGAGUGCAGAAGGGGAGAGUGGAAUUCCAUGUGUAGCGGUGAAAUGCGUAGAUAUAUGGAGGAACACCGGUGGCGAAAGCGGCUCUCUGGUCUGUAACUGACGCUGAGGCUCGAAAGCGUGGGGAGCGAACAGGAUUAGAUACCCUGGUAGUCCACGCCGUAAACGAUGAGUGCUAGGUGUUGGAUCCUUUCCGGGAUUCAGUGCCGCAGCUAACGCAUUAAGCACUCCGCCUGGGGAGUACGACCGCAAGGUUGAAACUCAAAGGAAUUGACGGGGGCCCGCACAAGCGGUGGAGCAUGUGGUUUAAUUCGAAGCAACGCGAAGAACCUUACCAGGUCUUGACAUCCCGAUGCUAUUUCUAGAGAUAGAAAGUUACUUCGGUACAUCGGUGACAGGUGGUGCAUGGUUGUCGUCAGCUCGUGUCGUGAGAUGUUGGGUUAAGUCCCGCAACGAGCGCAACCCCUAUUGUUAGUUGCCAUCAUUCAGUUGGGCACUCUAGCGAGACUGCCGGUAAUAAACCGGAGGAAGGUGGGGAUGACGUCAAAUCAUCAUGCCCCUUAUGACCUGGGCUACACACGUGCUACAAUGGUUGGUACAACGAGUUGCGAGUCGGUGACGGCGAGCUAAUCUCUUAAAGCCAAUCUCAGUUCGGAUUGUAGGCUGCAACUCGCCUACAUGAAGUCGGAAUCGCUAGUAAUCGCGGAUCAGCACGCCGCGGUGAAUACGUUCCCGGGCCUUGUACACACCGCCCGUCACACCACGAGAGUUUGUAACACCCGAAGUCGGUGAGGUAACCUUUUGGAGCCAGCCGCCUAAGGUGGAC